AUUGAACGCUAGCGGGAUGCUUUACACAUGCAAGUCGAACGAGUGGCUGACGGGUGCGUAAUAUAUCUGAACGUGCCCCGUCGCGGGGGUUAACUACUCGAAUGAGUGGCUAAUACCCCAUACUAUUGUAGCGGCCGAUAUCGGAUUAGCUAGUUGGUGGGGUAAAGGCUCACCAAGGCAACGAUCCCUGGCUGGUCUGAGAGAACGACCAGCAAGACUGGAACUGGGACCCGGCCCAGAAUCCUACGGGAGGCAGCAGUGGGGAAUUGUGGGAAAUGGGGGCAACCCCGAUCCAGCCAUCCCGAUUGUAUGAGAAGGCCUGCGGGUUGGAAAGUCCUUUCGGCAGAGAAGCGGUUUCUUCAGAAUAAGCACCGGCUAACUACGUGCCAGCAGCCGCGGUAAUAC
rnacentral:rRNA from 1 species